UACGGAGGGGGCUAGCGUUGUUCGGAAUUACUGGGCGUAAAGCGCACGUAGGCGGCUUUGUAAGUUAGAGGUGAAAGCCCGGGGCUCAACCCCGGGAGGCGGGUGGAUACUGUCAAGCUCGAGUCCGGAAGAGGAGUGUGGAAUUCCUGGUGUAGCGGUGAAAUGCGCAGAUAUCAGGAGGAACACCAAUGGCGAAGGCAGCACUCUGGGACGUGACUGACGCUGAGACGCGAAAGCGUGGGGAGCAAACAGG
rnacentral:rRNA from 1 species